UACGUAGGGGGCAAGCGUUGUCCGGAAUCAUUGGGCGUAAAGCGCGUGUAGGCGGCUUCGUAAGUCCGUUGUGAAAGUCCAGGGCUCAACCCUGGAAUGCCGAUGGAUACUGCGGAGCUAGAGUCCGGAGGAGGCGAGUGGAAUUCCUGGUGUAGCGGUGAAAUGCGCAGAUAUCAGGAGGAACACCAAUGGCGAAGGCAGCUCGCUGGGACGGUACUGACGCUGAGACGCGAAAGCGUGGGGAGCAAACAGG
rnacentral:rRNA from 1 species